GUACAUCAUCAUAACUUUUGAAUGCUAAUAUGAACUCAUUACCCUCAUAUUCAGAUAUAGGAGAGCAAAAUUUUUUGGGUAUUUUAGUUUUCAAGCACCUAUGUAUUAUUUAUAACAAAUAAUAGAUUAUAAUUUAUUUUUUUUAUUUUCAUUCCAGGUAGACAUAAAAAUUUUGAAGUAUGCACAGAAACUGAAAGUGUCAAAUAUGGAACCUAAAAAAACCUGCCUUUGCCACUGACUGUAUAAAGGUUAUUUAAGGUCUGUUUGUCAAGCGUCAAGUCAUGUUAUCUUGCUACUGGUACCAUGCAGUACAUCCUGCUUAAGCAGGUUGUACGCCAUCCAUACAGCGUUUAGGCAUCUGUUUGUAAAAUAUUGCUGCAAAUCUUUUUAAGAGAGCCAUUACUAUGGAGAACCAUCUAAACCAUAAAAGUGUGGAAACAUGGAUAAUGAAGUUUAUUCAUUUGCUGGCAACAUUUUUAAACGUGGUCCACAUCGAAAAAAUUUGGUGCUAGAAAUUGUCGAUAGUGGAAGUGAUAGAUGCAUCGAACCUAAUUUGUAAUUAAUUUCUG